AAAAUUCUACUUAAAUUGUAUUCAAAUCUCCCAUUAGUUGAAUUAGAAAAACGAACAAAUGCCUAGAAAUAAUGCGAAAUUGUGAAAUAAAUCCAUUUAAAUCUACUAUAUAAUCACAUCAGGAUCGAGCAAAUCCAUCUUCCAAUACACAAUCUCCAAACAUCAACUUAAAGCAAACCCUAACUAAAAAGACAAACGUACAAAUCCCCUUCUUCAAGACGAAGUAAACUUAGUCACAGCUUUAGUCCCUUCAGAAACGGCAUGCUUCGCUAGCUCACCGGGAAGUACAAGCCUAACAGCAGUCUGGAUUUCCCUAGAAGUAAUGGUAGGUUUCUUGUUGUACCUCGCGAGUCUCGAAGCUUCUUGAGCAAGUUUCUCAAAGAUGUCAUUGAUGAAACUGUUCAUAAUGCCCAUAGCUUUGCUUGAGAUACCGAUAUCUGGAUGAACUUGUUUAAGGACCUUGAAGAUGUAGAUCUUGUAGGUUUCGGUACUCUUCUUGGUCCUCUUCUUCUUUUUGUCUCCGGCAGCUGCUCCGCCUUCCUUCGGUAGCUUUUUACCGGCCUUUGGCUUCUUCUCCGCCGGAGCUUUCUCAGCUACUGUUUUCUUCUCCUCCGCUGGUUUCUUCUCUGC
rnacentral:lncRNA from 1 species